AUACGUAGGUGGCAAGCGUUGUCCGGAUUUAUUGGGCGUAAAGCGAGCGCAGGCGGUUCUUUAAGUCUGAUGUGAAAGCCCCCGGCUCAACCGGGGAGGGUCAUUGGAAAAUGGAGAACUUGAGUGCAGAAGAGGAGAGUGGAAUUCCAUGUGUAGCGGGGAAAUGCGUAGAUAUAUGGAGGAACACCAGUGGCGAAGGCGGCUCUCUGGUCUGUAACUGACGCUGAGGCUCGAAAGCGUGGGGAGCAAACAGGAUUAGAUACCCUGGUAGUCCACGCCGUAAACGAUGAGUGCUAAGUGUUGGAGGGUUUCCGCCCUUCAGUGCUGCAGCUAACGCAUUAAGCACUCCGCCUGGGGAGUACGGCCGCAAGGCUGAAACUCAAAGGAAUUGGCGGGG
rnacentral:rRNA from 1 species